GGAGUCUGGGCCGUGUCUCAGUCCCAAUGUGGCCGUUCAACCUCUCAGUCCGGCUACUGAUCGUCGGCUUGGUGAGCCGUUACCUCACCAACUACCUAAUCAGACGCGAGCCCAUCUCUGAGUGAUAAAUCUUUGAUACAUCAAUCAUGCGGUCAAUGUAUAUUAUGAGGUAUUACCAUCCGUUUCCAGAAGCUAUCCCUCUCUCAGAGGCAGGUUGCUCACGUGUUACUCACCCGUCCGCCACUAAGAAUGCAAAGCAAGCUAAGCAUUCUCCGUUCGACUUGCAUGUGUUAGGCGUGCCGCCAGCGUCGUCCUCGAGCCACUGAUCAAACUACU
rnacentral:rRNA from 1 species